GGCGCGAGAGUGCAUCUUUUGCCGACGCCUCAGAAAGUCACUCUGUGGUAGUGUUGUUGUUGUCAGCGAAGGCACAUUCAAACUCAACAGAAUCACCUAAUUAGUCUGAUAAAUUUGCGGGCGAAGCCACAUGUUGAGAGGAUUUUCCGAAGGCUGUCUCUUUGCACGAUGUGGAAGUGAAUCCAGGUCUUCAUAUCAUCAAGAUCAUUUGUUUGUGCACUGAGAGAAAGCAAAAGCAUAUACAGUCGACCCUCUACCUCCCCAUUGCCACCAGCUGAAGGUCACGUCUUCUGGUCCUCUUUCAAACAGCUGGAGGGGUUCUGAUGCUAGCUUUCCAUCAAAUGGCUACCUGCCAUCCUGCCGCCUGACUCCGGGGAUCGUCCUCCGGAAUAUGGGUUCACCCCCCCCCCCCC